rnacentral:rRNA from 1 species
AGCUCCAAUAGCGUAUAUUAAAGUUGUUGCAGUUAAAAAGCUCGUGGUUGGAUUUCUGGUGGGAGGGAUCGAUCCAGCACACUGUGUUGGAACUGGAUCCUCUCCGGCCAUCCUUGGGUGGAUCUUGUCUGGCAUUAAGUUGUCAGUCAGCGGAUGCCCAUCGUUUACUGUGAAAAAAUUAGAGUGUUCAAAGCAGGCUUAUGCCAUUGAAUAUAUCAGCAUGGAAUAAUAAGAUAGGGCCCUGGUGCUAUUUUGUUGGUUUGCCUACCGAGGUAAUGAUUAAUAGGGACAGUUGGGGGUAUUUGUAUUCAGUAUUCAGUUGUGAAAUACUUAGACCUACGGAAGACAAACUACUGCAAAAGCAUUUAUGAAGGAUGUUUUCA